UCAAUGGAUGUUGCCUAUAAGGCAGCUACCCUUGCACUGCGUUGCCUAUCCACAGAACCCAGGUUCCGGCCAAACAUGGAUGAGGUUGUGACAUUGUUGGAACAGCUCCUUGAUUCCAAAGAAAUUGGAAGCGCCAACACCCCUUCAAGCAAUGCAUCCAGAAUUCGUAGACGAAGUGCAGAUGAUGCUAGUAGUGGAAGGACUGCAGCUGCUUAUCCUCGGCCCUCUGCUUCCACUCUUUAUAUUUGAAAACAGAACAAACUUGAUUAAACUUAUGUUUAUAUCUCAAUACAAAUUAGGGGCAUUCAAGUUGACUUGUCCAAUGACUGUACAGUUUCAUGGUUCGGCUAAUGUAAUUUAAAUCAAACUUCUGAUGACAAAGUUUCCAGGUCAACCUGUAACUUGAGUUCAC
rnacentral:misc_RNA from 1 species